AGGUCAAGCUAAUAAGAGCAUAGGGUGGAUGCCUUGGCACCAAGAGCCGAAGAAGGACGCGGUAAGCUGCGAAAAGCUCUGGGGAGGCGCAAACGGCCGUAGAUCCAGAGAUGUCCGAAUGGGGAAACCCGACUUGGCGAACCCAAGUCACUGUAUGGUGAAUCCAUAGCCAUACAGGGGGAACGCAGGGAACUGAAACAUCUAAGUACCUGCAGGAGGAGAAAGAAACAUCGAUUUCCU
rnacentral:rRNA from 1 species